UCUCUCCUCCUCUGUGUAUAUCUGGCUUUCCAAUUGAAAAAAUCUUAAAAUAAGUAAAUAAAUUCUAGAAUAAUAAUUUUGCAGUGAUGUAAAUGAUGUCUAAGAGGAAAGUACAGACAGAAACCAGGAGACAAAGAUCUUCUGGUCCAAGAUAGCAGAGGUGCCACUAUGGGGAGAUGCAGUCCAGCUCCAACUCGAAUGCAUUGGCACCUGACAGAAGAAUGGGCAUGAGGUCGAUGGGGAAGAUGAGAACACCUCCCAACCCUCAGUGGUUUUCAGUACUACAACCAGUUCUCAAAGUCCACAGGUUAAAACGUCUACUGCCCAGGCCCUACUCCUGCUGCCUGCCAGUGCUCCUUUGCCUCCUUUUAGAAUUGGGUAACUUAUCCCAAGAGCUCUUGGAGGACACAGCCUCAUUCCACAUUGUGACACUUGGAGGCCUGGAGCCCUGUCAGGUGUAAGAUUUGUGCUCUUUUCUUUUGAAUCCAGUAAACUUAAUGGUGUUGUGUUAGAAGAAAGAUCUAGCCUUUGCUACCCAAGAAGUUCAGAGAGGAGCAAGACAGAUAAAACAGUAAUUACUAACCCAAGCAGAAUGACAACCCAGGAGCUGGGGGACCAUGGAGAGAAGUUUGGAGAAUUCAGGAUUUCACAGAAAGGGAGGCACUUUGGUGAGGCUGAUGGUUUUUAUUGAACUUCUAUCACUACAAAGGCACUGAGAAUAACACAAGCAUUCAAUAUGUAAUUAUAAGCAGAACGAAUGCUGGGAAAGAAAAGUACAGAGUACCAUGGAAAUGUGUAACUCGGAGAUUAGUCAAAAGGAUCAGGGGAAGCUAAGACAGGAAAUGUGGGCAGAUACUGGCAUAGGAAAGAGUAGGAGAGGCCCAAGGAGGGAAACACAUGUUUGUUGCUUAAUAUGAGAAAAUAUGGCAUGUUUAAGGAACUGGAAGAAACUGAAUGUGGCCUGAGCAACUGGGUAGAGGAGGGAGAGGGACCUACAGCAAAACAGAGGGACCAGAAAGUAGAAUGUGGAUAGUCCAUUAGCCUUGGAAGGUUUUGGAAACUUGUCCUGAGGGGAAUAGGGAGCUACUGUGAUGUUUAAACAGUAGACUGCAUAAUUGGAAAAGACAAGACUGAAACAGGGACUCACUAGGCAAGCUAUCAGAAUGGCAAAGUGAGAGGUAACAGAGGAACAAAAAGAACCAAAGUGGAAGACUCAGACAGGACCAGGUGAUUAACUAAAUGUGAGAGGUGGGAAAAGAGAAGUCAGGAAUGGACCUUGGGUCUCUAACUUGAGAACAAGAAUAGGUGUAGUGUCAUCAACCAGGAGAAUCUGUUGAGUGAUCCAGAGAGAAUGACCGUCAAUAAACCCAUUACUUAGACUAUGGUGGUUUGAGUGACUUACUGAGUAAAACUUACUGAGUAAGUUUUAGACAGGUUACCAAUUCUAUCCUGAGCCUCACCUGUGAAUUGGAAUGAUUAUAUUGUAUGUAGAUCCGCAUUUAAAUGAUUUGUCAGUACCAGCCAUUAUUGUUCAGGAACAUGAAUAACUAUUAGGGACUUAGUGGAAAUAGAACUAGUGAUGAGAUAACAAGUGAACAGGGACUUUGAUCCAGCGGGAAAGUGAGACGGAAGAUAACAGAGUUGGCAGGGAGGAAGCAGAGAGGACACCAGAGAAGGGUAGAUUGUCUUUCAAGGACAUGAUUCAAAGGACUGGAGGUGUGGCUCAUGCAAUAUGACAGAGGACAGGUGUAGCUCUUGGGAAGAUGCAGGAAGAGCUAUGCAGAGAGGACACCA